CCUACGGGGGGCAACAGUGGGGAAUAUUGCACAAUGGGGGAAACCCUGAUGCAGCAACGCCGCGUGAGCGAUGAAGGCCUUCGGGUCGUAAAGCUCCGUCCUAAGGGAAGAAUACUGACGGUACCUUAGGAGGAAGCCCCGGCUAACUACGUGCCAGCAGCCGCGGUAAUACGUAGGGGGCCAGAGUUAUCCGGAAUUACUGGGCGUAGAGGGUGUGCAGGCGGUCCUUCAUGACAGUGGUGAAGGGCUACGGCGCAACCGUAGUAAGCCUUUGAUACUGUAGGGCUUGGGUGAAGGAGAGGAGAGUGGAGUUCGCAGUGUAACGGUGAAAUGCGGAGAAAGUGGAAGGAACACCGAUGGCGAAGGCGGCUCGCUGGACUGUAGCGGACGCUGAGGCACGAAAGCGGGGGGAGCGAACAGGAUUAGAUACCCUAGUAGUC
rnacentral:rRNA from 1 species